GGGGGACAGGGUGACAGGUUGGUGCAUGGUUGUCGUCAGCUCGUGUCGUGAGAUGUUGGGUUAAGUCCCGCAACGAGCGCAACCCUCGCCUCUAGUUGCCAGCAUUCGGUUGGGCACUCUAGAGGGACUGCCGGCGACAAGUCGGAGGAAGUGGGAUGACGUCAAAUCAUCAUGCCCCUUAUGACCUGGGCUACACACGUGCUACAAUGGGCGGUACAAAGGGCUGCGAACCCGCGAGGGGGAGCGAAUCCCAAAAAGCCGCUCUCAGUUCGGAUUGCAGGCUGCAACUCGCCUGCAUGAAGCCGGAAUCGCUAGUAAUCGCGGAUCAGCAUGCCGCGGUGAAUACGCUCCCGGGCCUU
rnacentral:rRNA from 1 species